UACGAAGGGGGCUAGCGUUGCUCGGAAUUACUGGGCGUAAAGCGCACGUAGGCGGGUUGUUAAGUCGGGGGUGAAAUCCUGGAGCUCAACUCCAGAACUGCCUUCGAAACUGACGAUCUUGAGUUCGGGAGAGGUGAGUGGAACUGCGAGUGUAGAGGUGAAAUUCGUAGAUAUUCGCAAGAACACCAGUGGCGAAGGCGGCUCACUGGCCCGAUACUGACGCUGAGGUGCGAAAGCGUGGGGAGCA
rnacentral:rRNA from 1 species